rnacentral:rRNA from 1 species
AGAGUUUGAUCCUGGCUCAGAACGAACGCUGGCGGCAGGCUUAACACAUGCAAGUCGAACGCCCCGCAAGGGGAGUGGCAGACGGGUGAGUAACGCGUGGGAAUCUACCCAUCUCUGCGGAAUAGCUCUGGGAAACUGGAAUUAAUACCGCAUACGCCCUACGGGGGAAAGAUUUAUCGGGGAUGGAUGAGCCCGCGUUGGAUUAGCUAGUUGGUGGGGUAAAGGCCUACCAAGGCGACGAUCCAUAGCUGGUCUGAGAGGAUGAUCAGCCACAUUGGGACUGAGACACGGCCCAAACUCCUACGGGAGGCAGCAGUGGGGAAUAUUGGACAAUGGGCGCAAGCCUGAUCCAGCCAUGCCGCGUGAGUGAUGAAGGCCUUAGGGUUGUAAAGCUCUUUCACCGAUGAAGAUAAUGACGGUAGUCGGAGAAGAAGCCCCGGCUAACUUCGUGCCAGCAGCCGCGGUAAUACGAAGGGGGCUAGCGUUGUUCGGAAUUACUGGGCGUAAAGCGCACGUAGGGCGGAUAUUUAAGUCAGGGGGUGAAAUCCCGCAGCUCAACUGCGGAACUGCCUUUGAUACUGNGNUAUCUUGAAUAUGGAAGAGGUAAGUGGAAUUCCGAGUGGUAGAGGUGAAAUUCGUAGAUAUUCGGAGGAACACCAGUGGCGAAGNCGGCUUACUGGUCCAUUACUGACGCUGGGGNGCCAAAGCGGGNGGAACCAAACAGGAUUAGAUACCCUGGUAGUCCACCCGUAAACCAAUGAU